rnacentral:tRNA from 4 species
GGGCCCGUCGUCUAGCUUGGAUAGGACGCCAGCCUGCGGAGCUGGAGGUCCGGGGUUCAAGUCCCCGCGGGCCCG